UACAGAGGUCCCAAGCGUUGUUCGGAUUUACUGGGCGUAAAGGGUGCGUAGGUGGUGGAGUAAGUUUGGUGUGAAAUCUCUAAGCUUAACUUGGAAACGGCACUGAAAACUACUUUACUGGAGGGUCGGAGGGGAAACUGGAAUUCUCGGUGUAGCAGUGAAAUGCGUAGAUAUCGAGAGGAACACCCGUGGCGAAGGCGAGUUUCUGGACGACUCCUGACACUGAGGCACGAAAGCUAGGGGAGCAAACAGG
rnacentral:rRNA from 1 species